rnacentral:rRNA from 1 species
GAUGAACGCUGGCGGCGUGCCUAAUACAUGCAAGUCGAGCGAACGGACGAGAAGCUUGCUUCUCUGAUGUUAGCGGCGGACGGGUGAGUAACACGUGGAUAACCUACCUAUAAGACUGGGAUAACUUCGGGAAACCGGAGCUAAUACCGGAUAAUAUUUUGAACCGCAUGGUUCAAAAGUGAAAGACGGUCUUGCUGUCACUUAUAGAUGGAUCCGCGCUGCAUUAGCUAGUUGGUAAGGUAACGGCUUACCAAGGCAACGAUGCAUAGCCGACCUGAGAGGGUGAUCGGCCACGCUGGAACUGAGACACGGUCCAGACUCCUACGGGAGGCAGCAGUAGGGAAUCUUCCGCAAUGGGCGAAAGCCUGACGGAGCAACGCCGCGUGAGUGAUGAAGGUCUUCGGAUCGUAAAACUCUGUUAUUAGGGAAGAGCAUAUGUGUAAGUAACUGUGCACAUCUUGACGGUACCUAAUCAGAAAGCCACGGCUAACUACGUG